rnacentral:rRNA from 1 species
GUCCACGCUGUAAACGAUGUCUGCUAGCCGUUGGGAUCCUUGAGGUCUCGGUGGCGCAGCUAACGCGAUAAGCAGACCGCCUGGGGAGUACGGCCGCAAGGUUAAAACUCAAAUGAAUUGACGGGGGCCCGCACAAGCGGUGGAGCAUGUGGUUUAAUUCGAUGCAACGCGAAGAACCUUACCACCCCUUGACAUCCAGAGAACUGCCCAGAGAUGGGCGGUGCCUUCGGGAACUCUGAGACAGGUGCUGCAUGGCUGUCGU